GGGCCACAUCUUCCAGAAGAUUCAUAGGAACUGCAGGAGGCCCUGGGAGGUCCUCAGGGGCUUCCCCCCAGGGCGGAGCCCGCAACCUUCUUCCCCAGGGCCCUCAGAGAAGGAGCUGGGGUUACACGGCUCAGAGGUGAGAAGUGGGCUUAAGGAGGGAAAAGCAGAUGAGAGGGACCACGAAUGCCCCACCUCGCAUCUUUCCAGGAAGAAGGAGAAGAACCUCUCCAGCUCUGGGAAAGAGCACCCAGAAUAGCAGGGAGGGGCCCACGUCUGCAACAGCCUCUCUUGGUCGCUCUUCUCCCUGAGUCCCCCCCAUCAGAGGGGUCCCUCCAGGCCUGGCUCCUCAUUGCCGGGGUGGGGACACCUUCAGAGGUGACGCCCAUGUCUUUCCAGGGCUUUGGAGGCACAGAAGUGGGAACGGACAGCGGGAGGCUUAGGUAAACACUGCCACAACAGGAACUGCUCGGAAUAGGCCUUACAGCUGCGUCUGGGGAGACUGAACUUGACAGAGCAGGGAGGUCUGGACUGGGAACCUGGGGUGGGGCUCAUCUCCAUAGCAACCAGAAACAGCCCCAGCCAGGCCCUGGCUCUGCCUUCUGAUGGAGGAGCUUGUGUUGCUGAAAUACCCACAGGCAAAAUGACGCGCCCGGAAUAGCUCGGUUCCACAUCACCAGCCCCUCAUGGGGCACCUGCCACUCCGACAUCGUGGCCACCCAACCAGCAGCAGGUGGCUGAAAGCUGAAGGUCACCAGGAGUCUUUCUCUCACUGGCUUGUUUGAAAGAUGACCACUGGCGGAGUGAAAAAAACCCUGGCAUAUCAAGCAUGGGUUUAUUCGAUAACACUCAGGUACGAGAACCGUCGGUAUUUUUCCUAAAUCAAAUAAAAUUUGAUUAUGAGCCGC